rnacentral:tRNA from 1 species
AUUCUUAAAGUGAAAACACAUAGAACUUUCAAUUCUAAAAAGAAUUAAUUCUAAGAAAA